rnacentral:rRNA from 1 species
GGGGAAUCUUGCGCAAUGGGCGAAAGCCUGACGCAGCAACGCCGCGUGAGCGAAGAAGGCCUUCGGGUUGUAAAGCUCUGUCAGGGGGAAAGAAGGCACCUGGGUUAAUAGCCCAAGGGCUGACGGUACCCCCAAAGGAAGCCACGGCUAACUACGUGCCAGCAGCCGCGGUAAUACGUAGGUGGCAAGCGUUGUCCGGAAUCAUUGGGCGUAAAGAGCGCGUAGGUGGCUUGUCAGGUCUGAUGUGAAAUUUCGGGGCUCAACUCCGAACCUGCAUCGGAAACCGGCUUGCUAGAGUCUGGGAGAGGAGAGUGGAAUUCCUGGUGUAGCGGUGAAAUGCGUAGAUAUCAGGAGGAACACCGGUAGCGAAGGCGGCUCUCUGGAACAGUACUGACGCUGAGGCGCGAAAGCUAGGGGAGCGAACAG